UACGAAGGUGGCAAGCGUUGUUCGGAUUUACUGGGCGUACAGGGAGCGUAGGCGGUUGGGUAAGCCCUCCGUGAAAUCUCCGGGCCUAACCCGGAAAGUGCGGAGGGGACUGCUCGGCUAGAGGAUGGGAGAGGAGCGCGGAAUUCCCGGUGUAGCGGUGAAAUGCGUAGAGAUCGGGAGGAAGGCCGGUGGCGAAGGCGGCGCUCUGGAACAUUUCUGACGCUGAGGCUCGAAAGCGUGGGGAGCAAACAGGAUUAGAUACCCUGGUAGUCCACGCCUUAAACGAUGGAUACUAAGUGUCGGCGGGUUACCGCCGGUGCCGCAGCUAACGCAGUAAGUAUCCCGCCUGGGAAGUACGGCCGCAAGGUUGAA
rnacentral:rRNA from 1 species